AAAGGGUAAUUCUUAGAUUGCAGAAAGGUUAAAGGCUACAGUUUGGAAAGAGUGAUAGCAUAUGAUUGGUUUCAGAAUGUAAAAAGGGCAGCUCUCUGGCAUGUUCCUGACUGAGGAUCUCAUAACAUUUAACUUGAGGAACUUCCUCCUUUUCCAGCUUUCGGAGUCAAGGUGAGACUCCUGGGGACCUAGGUAGGAAGUAUCUGAAGACUUGGGAGAGGAGGCACAGUCCUUGGGAAGCCUGAUAAAGGGAAGAGGUUGGAGUCCACGUGGCAGAAUGGCCAUUGUUUUCUUUCUCCUUAAUGGAUAUUAAAACUUAUUGGUAAGAGCACUUAGGAUGGGUAAACUGACUUACAUAGAUAAAUACAGCAUGUGUAAAUGAUAAUUUCAAGUUUAUGCCAUUAAGCUCCUGGAUUCUAAGUAACUAAAAACACAGUUUAUUAAAUUAAAGGACAAGUUAGGUAGUGGCUAUAAUUAACAAAUCCUAUAGAGACCUGCCUAUCAGCAUGCAGACUUGUCUUCAUAAUUGAGUGACUUUAAGAAGGGAUGUCUUCUCUCCCUUUGCCUCACAAACCAACAUCCCCCCAGUCCCCAGUGCGAUUCCUAAGGUUGGUAACCCACCGGACAUGCAUGGGCCCCUAUGUCUGAAAAUCUUUCUUGAAGUCUGCAUGUUCAAGGUUUGAAAGUUGGGAUCUGGUUAUUUAUUUUUUCACCUUCCUUCACUCCAAUGUUCUGGGUAUGGAUUGACAUUCCCACCUCCCUUCCUUUGCUAUUCGGACCUCAGAGAUCUUGAGGGGUGAGUAUGUCUCAUCCAGAGACAGGGCGUGGUGACUUCCCUAGGAGAUCAUGAGUUUAGGUUAAUGCUUUAAAAUCACUGGAGGGAAGGAGCAGACAAAACUAUAAAAACAUUCUUGGGGCUUUGAGGAGAAUGAGGAGCAGAGUUAUGGAAGGAAGGGUGGGUGGGUGUAUAUUUAGAUAGGAGAGAGAAGGGGAAAAGGGGAACCCCCUCCUUGCCACUCAGGCUCUCCCAGGGCCGAAGUGACACCCCCUCCUCCUCCUGCCCUAAUCCCCCCAUUAAGGCAGCUCUGAGUUUGUUAUGACAGCGGCUGAAGGCUGCUGAAUUGCUGUUUGCUGUGUCUGCUAAUUGGACUGAAGGGUUGGAGUCUGGACACUGAAAGGGACCAUUGUUGCUGUUUACCUUCUACAGCCGCCUCCCUGGGGACCCUCUGGGUAAAGGGGAGCAGCAGCACCCCCUUAGGGUCAUUGCACCCAUUUCCUGCACAAGGGACUGCAGUGGGGAGACAGUUCGUCUCAUUGCCUUGGGGUGGUUUGAGCUUCUACAGCACAGAGGAGACAAGCCAACACCUGAGCCAGUCUCAUCUCCAGGCCAGGCCUAGGGGCCAUCCAGGAGCUCCCAGGAAAGAGGAGUUACAUGCUUGUCUUUCUCCUUUUUAUUCAUUCCCUUCUUCUUUAGGGAUCUUUGCUUUGCCUCUUCCUCCAGCUAAUCAGGCUUCACCCCUGCCCCUUUUCUGACCUGCUUUCUUCUAGCUUCUCACCUGGGGCGGGUGGGUGCUGCACUACCCUCUCACCCUCCUUCCUCCGUGUGGACGACAGAGCCACAUCCAGCACCACGGACAGCUCCCGGGCGACCAAAAAGAAGAAUGUACUUCAUCCGGUUGGGCUGGAUUCCCUCUGAUAAGCCUUCCCAGUUGACUGAAAGAUGAGGCUAGGCUCUAGCAAGUUAAAGUCGAACCAGCUCCUUCAAGAAGCUUUGAGCAGAAUGAAGUGGGGAGGACCCAGCUUCUGGCCCAGGAAGUCCACUGUACCUGGAGCCAUCUGGGAUAAGACUUUGACCCAUGACUCCCAUAUCCACAACCUGUCCAUCCUGGCCCAUCCCAGUUUAUCCUGUAUCAUUUGAGCUGGGGUUCCCACAUCCUCUGAGAUGGAAGUCCCAUCUCAAGUCUUCAAUAAAGACUCUUGAAUAUUGAAUCA
rnacentral:sRNA from 1 species